rnacentral:miRNA from 1 species
AGUGGGGGUUGGGGUAUAUAU